rnacentral:rRNA from 1 species
UACGGGGGGAGCAAGCGUUGUUCGGAUUUACGGGGCGUAAAGGGGGCGUAGGCGGUCAGCACAAGUCAGUUGUGAAAUCUCCGGGCUUAACUCGGAAAGGUCAACUGAUACUGUGCGACUAGAGUGCAGAAGGGGCAACUGGAAUUCUCGGUGUAGCGGUGAAAUGCGUAGAUAUCGAGAGGAACACCUGCGGCGAAGGCGGGUUGCUGGGCUGACACUGACGCUGAUGCGCGAAAGCCAGGGGAGCGAACGGG